GACGAACGCUGGCGGCGUGCUUAACACAUGCAAGUCGAACGGAAAGGCCCUGCUUUUGUGGGGUGCUCGAGUGGCGAACGGGUGAGUAACACGUGAGUAACCUGCCCUUGACUUUGGGAUAACUUCAGGAAACUGGGGCUAAUACCGGAUAGGAGCUCCUGCUGCAUGGUGGGGGUUGGAAAGUUUCGGCGGUUGGGGAUGGACUCGCGGCUUAUCAGCUUGUUGGUGGGGUAGUGGCUUACCAAGGCUUUGACGGGUAGCCGGCCUGAGAGGGUGACCGGCCACAUUGGGACUGAGAUACGGCCCAGACUCCUACGGGAGGCAGCAGUGGGGGAUAUUGCACAAUGGGCGGAAGCCUGAUGCAGCAACGCCGCGUGCGGGAUGACGGCCUUCGGGUUGUAAACCGCUUUCGCCUGUGACGAAGCGUGAGUGACGGUAAUGGGUAAAGAAGCACCGGCUAACUACGUGCCAGCAGCCGCGGUGAUACGUAGGGUGCGAGCGUUGUCCGGAUUUAUUGGGCGUAAAGGGCUCGUAGGUGGUUGAUCGCGUCGGAAGUGUAAUCUUGGGGCUUAACCCUGAGCGUGCUUUCGAUACGGGUUGACUUGAGGAAGGUAGGGGAGAAUGGAAUUCCUGGUGGAGCGGUGGAAUGCGCAGAUAUCAGGAGGAACACCAGUGGCGAAGGCGGUUCUCUGGGCCUUUCCUGACGCUGAGGAGCGAAAGCGUGGGGAGCGAACAGGCUUAGAUACCCUGGUAGUCCACGCUGUAAACGGUGGGUACUAGGUGUGGGGUCCAUUCCACGGGUUCCGUGCCGUAGCUAACGCUUUAAGUACCCCGCCUGGGGAGUACGGCCGCAUGGCUAAAACUCAAAGGAAUUGACGGGGCCCCGCACAAGCGGCGGAGCAUGCGGAUUAAUUCGAUGCAACGCGUAGAACCUUACCUGGGUUUGACAUGGAUCGGGAGUGCUCAGAGAUGGGUGUGCCUCUUUUGGGGUCGGUUCACAGGUGGUGCAUGGCUGUCGUCAGCUCGUGUCGUGAGAUGUUGGGUUAAGUCCCGCAACGAGCGCAACCCUUGUUCACUGUUGCCAGCACGUUAUGGUGGGGACUCAGUGGAGACCGCCGGGGUCAACUCGGAGGAAGGUGGGGAUGACGUCAAGUCAUCAUGCCCCUUAUGUCCAGGGCUUCACGCAUGCUACAAUGGCUGGUACAGAGAGUGGCGAGCCUGUGAGGGUGAGCGAAUCUCGGAAAGCCGGUCUCAGUUCGGAUUGGGGUCUGCAACUCGACCUCAUGAAGUCGGAGUCGCUAGUAAUCGCAGAUCAGCAACGCUGCGGUGAAUACGUUCCCGGG
rnacentral:rRNA from 1 species